GUUGGCUGAAUCAGAGAUUGGCUGACGCAAUGUUUAACUUACUCUUAAUUAGGAGAGAAUUAUGUCUCUGAAUGCAGAAACUAAAGCAACAAUCGUUGCAGAAUACGCUCAGUCUGA
rnacentral:ncRNA from 1 species